ACAAAACAUGAUUUGAGCACAAGCUGAAACACAUUUAUGAGAAAAUCAGAGAUUUUCUCAUACAUCAAUGCAGAAAAUCAGCUGUGAUGGUUAGAUGUGGAAGAAGUUCUGGACAAGGUUAAAAAUAAAAAGCAAAUACCAUAAAGCUGCAUAUUUAAAUACCAUAGCAGAGAACACAAUAUUAGGAGUAAGUGUACGCAUUAAUCUGGAAAUAAUAGGGAAGUUACAUUAUAUGUUAAAGAAAGUUACAAUGGCACAGGCAUGGGCAGAUGAAGUAGGCAGGAAACCUGUCAAACAGCCACUGGAGGUUUGUUUCCUGUUUCACAGCGCAGUCAGAGGUGAUCAGCUGUGUUUAGUGGUGUUGCACGAUAGAGUGGAUGAAUAUAAUCACCUGCCUCAUGGACAAGUUUAAUGUACAAUAAACUUUUAAUGUUGUUUCAGGGGUUCAUAAACAGCAUGGCUGAACACAGGGAAUUCAAGAACCUUAUGGCCAACUCAUUUAGAGGUAGCCCUUGAUGUACUGCUUCCCAAAGCAGUAUUUCAUAUAUUUAUCACUUUUUUUAACCUUAAAUGGCCCCAAAAUCCAAAACCAGUUCUAUGGAUAAUGCAUCUUCAUUAGGAGCCACUUCUGAGGCUGAAAAGCACAGGCACAGCAGCUAACACAGCAGGUGAGGAAAAUGUACUUUUGGUCCAGGAACCCAGAUAACUUAUGUAUGAUGCUGUGGGAUAUUAAAUAUUCAGGAAAACUGCCAUUAUCUUUGUUUCAUCCUCCAAUUGUUGGUAUCUCUAAUUUUCAUAACUUAUUUUGGGGGCUUUUGUUUUCCCGUGGGUUGGAAAAGACCUUAACUGUGUUUUGUUACAAUAGGAAAGACCUCUGUACCUAGAGGAUCCUUAUCAUUCAUGAGGAAACACAAAACUUCAGUUUCACAGACAAACUUAUCUUCACAUACACAGUUAGAGCCUUUGUUAAUGCAUCCUCAAUAGGAAGAAUAACAUCUGGCACCUUCCUUAAACAGACCCUCACAGAAUAACGUAUGUGAGAUGUAAGGUUACAGCAUCCUGCCCCUCUGCAGGCUCCAGUACCUUACACCUCCGGGGACAGGUCCAGCAGCACCUGCAGGUCAGCCCCCAAGCUACCCGCAUUGUGGUGCGGUUUCAGUUCCAACCCGGUGUCUUCACAUAGUAGUUUUGCACUCUAAAUAAAGCAGGACGUACUUUCUUGUGUGAGAGGAACUCCUGUGCACCACCGUUUUGCUCUGCUCUUCACCACCGCCACCUUUGCCCCCCGUGAAGGGAGGAGGGCGCACAGUGCAGGCUACCCCACCACCAGCUCCUUCCCCACGGCCACCUCUCCCCCGGCCAGACACUCCUCAAGCCCCAAGGGAUAGUGCUUUGCCCUCCUCCAUAGCUCCCUGGGCAGGGGCCUCAGCGCCGGCCCCUUCUCCACCUCAGUGCCCUCGGCCGGGAGGC
rnacentral:lncRNA from 1 species